rnacentral:rRNA from 1 species
UGGGGAAUUUUGGACAAUGGGCGAAAGCCUGAUCCAGCAAUGCCGCGUGUGUGAAGAAGGCCUUCGGGUUGUAAAGCACUUUUGUCCGGAAAGAAAUCCUUGGCUCUAAUACAGUCGGGGGAUGACGGUACCGGAAGAAUAAGCACCGGCUAACUACGUGCCAGCAGCCGCGGUAAUACGUAGGGUGCAAGCGUUAAUCGGAAUUACUGGGCGUAAAGCGUGCGCAGGCGGUUUGCUAAGACCGAUGUGAAAUCCCCGGGCUCAACCUGGGAACUGCAUUGGUGACUGGCAGGCUAGAGUAUGGCAGAGGGGGGUAGAAUUCCACGUGUAGCAGUGAAAUGCGUAGAGAUGUGGAGGAAUACCGAUGGCGAAGGCAGCCCCCUGGGCCAAUACUGACGCUCGUGCACGAAAGCGUGGGGAGCAAACAGGAUUAGAUACCCUGGUAGUCCACGCCCUAAACGAUGUCAACUAGUUGUGGGGAUUCAUUUCCUUAGUAACGUAGCUAACGCGUGAAGUUGACCGCCUGGGGAGUACGGUCGCAAGAUUAAAACUUAAAGGAAUUGACGGGGUCAAGCUG